rnacentral:misc_RNA from 1 species
AAACCAAAACCAUCUAGAACAAGGCCUGGAGUCGAGUCGGCCGAGGACAAAUCUAGCUAGUAGCUACCCAUUGCCAUCCGGCUAUAACUAUAAUGCCAACUGUUAGACCGAUGACUCCAGUAUUCACAAGUACUCCGGAAUCAAUACCAGUAAUGUGAAGAAAAUCAGCUGCAAACAGAAUGAAAGAAACUUGCCAUUCUCUUCAGCUGCAAACAGAAGGAAAUCUUACAAUGAUUUCCUUAAACCACUAAAAACCAAAGCUUUUGGUUAAAAAAACACAAUGAGGGGAAAAGACUGCUCUGUCUCUUCUUAUUCUGACCUAGCUGUGAGUUUAACAGUGUUGACUUACUGCUUAACCAAAAGAAAAUGAGAAGAAAAUUAUGAUUAUGCUCGUUUUGUGCGCCUUCCAACUUCAAGCGCCAACUCUGUAUCGAUUUUGAGAGAGAUGUCAAGUGCUCUUACAGAAUGUGUCAGUGCACCACUAGAAAUGUAUGUUACACCAGUCUGUCCAAUUUUGCUCACUGUUUCAAGAGUAACAUUCCCUGAUGCCUCAGUCUCAAAUCUUCCAUUGAUCAAUUCCACAGCAUUUUUAAGCAUAGAUACAUCAACAUCUCCAUUUGGCAGUGGUAUAACCAUAUUAUCCAACAUUAUCCGGGUCAAGGAAGUCUGUGUGUGUGAUGUGUAAUGUAACACCUCAUUUACUUCCUCAAGUGUUCUGGUCUCAACCUCAACCUCCAUUUGAAGGUUCUUUUGCUCUAAAUACUGAUCAACAGAUUUAAUGGCAUUUAUGAUACCCCCUGCUAUUGAUAUAUGAUUAUCUUUUAUCAUUACCAUAUCGAAUAAACCCAUUCUAUGAUUUCUACCUCCACCAAUUAGCACCGCCCACUUAUCAAUCAAACGUAGACCAGGAGCUGUUUUUCGAGUCUCUAAAAUAAAUGCAGGGCUUGCAGCAUCUGCCAUUGCCUUAGUUAGUGUUGCUAUUCCACUCAUCCUCUGCAUAAAAUUCAAUGCCACCCUUUCUGCUACAACAAUAUUGUGUGCUCGUCCAGAGACUUUUCCAAAUUGCAGUCCUUUAUGAACAUAAUCACCGUCCUUCCGAGACCAUUCCACCUGCAGAGAUGGAUCAACCUCAUGAAAUAUCAUCUCUGCUAAAGCAAUUCCUGCUAUGAUACCAUCCUCUUUUGCCAAAAAAUGGGCCUCCACUUCCAUGUUAAAAGGAAUGGUUGCUGUACAAGUCACAUCUCCUCUAUCCCCAGAAUCUUCAGCAAGAGCUAGCUUAAUGACGCCCUUUAAAUCAUAGGUAGGAUGAGAUGGAGGCUUUAUAGUCAUUGAUUGGAACAAUGUAUUGGGAUUUUUGGUUUCAACAGCAGACAUUCUAACAAUUCGUCUUGAAGAAUACAAAUG